CCUGAGAAACCCAAAAGUUCGAAUGGAGAGAUUCAUCGUCAGCGAUCCUGGCAAUUGUACGGUUCGCGAUGUCGGGGGCUUCGGCCCCGUGACACGCGUCCGUAUGAUUUAUUUGCCGGGUGUCGUCGUCGUGCACUUCUCCCCUAGUAGGACGUCGCGACCCGUUGGGUGUCGGUCUACGACCCGGGUGGGCGCCCGUCAUGUGUUACGCUUCACGGCGUCAUGUGGCAGACCCCCGGUUGUCCGACCAGCUGCCCGGCGGUACCCGCACGGUAUCGAGCCGCAAAUAAUUGAACUGCGUCCGGCCCGCCGCAAGCGAGGCCAGUGUUUUCCUGGAUGUACGGACUCAGCGCCGUCACCGGGCCUGGCCAGCUGUUGGCCGGCGGUGUCCUGGGACUGGCUCUAAAAAAUACCGGUCGGCGACGCUACUGCUUUGGGUACUUUCAGGACCCGUCUUGAAACACGGA
rnacentral:rRNA from 1 species